UGCAAGUCGAGGGGCAGCACGAGGUAGCAAUACUUUGGUGGCGACCGGCGCACGGGUGAGUAACACGUAUGCAACCUACCCUGUACAGGGGGAUAACCCGGAGAAAUUCGGACUAAUAUCCCAUAAAGAUAUUGAGAGGCAUCUUUUAAUAUUUAAAGCUCAGGCGGUACGGGCUGGGCAUGCGGAACAUUAGCUAGUUGGCAGGGUAACGGCCUACCAAGGCAUCGAUGUUUAGGGGACCUGAGAGGGUGAUCCCCCACACUGGUACUGAGACACGGACCAGACUCCUACGGGAGGCAGCAGUGAGGAAUAUUGGUCAAUGGGCGCAAGCCUGAACCAGCCAUCCCGCGUGAAGGAAGAAGGCGCUAUGCGUUGUAAACUUCUUUUCCAGGGGGUGAAUUUUCCGGUCGUGACCGGGAUUGACGGUACCCUGGGAAUAAGCAUCGGCUAACUCCGUGCCAGCAGCCGCGGUAAUACGGAGGAUGCGAGCGUUAUCCGGAUUUAUUGGGUUUAAAGGGUGCGUAGGCGGAUCAAUAAGUCAGUGGUGAAAACCUGCAGCUUAACUGUAGAUGUGCCGUUGAUACUG
rnacentral:rRNA from 1 species